rnacentral:rRNA from 1 species
GUUGAACGCUGGCGGCGUGCCUAAUACAUGCAAGUCGAGCGAAGCGGGGACGGGGGAGUAACACGUGGAUAACCUCCUAUAUGACUGGGGUAACUUCGUGAAACCGGAGCUAAUACCGAUACUUAUAGAUGGAUCCGCUCUGCAUUAGCUAGUGGGUAAGGUAACGGCUUACCAAGGCAACGAUCCAUAGCGGACCUGAGAGGAGGACCGGCCACACUGGAACUGAGACACGGUCCAGACUCCUACGGGAGGCAGCAGUAGGGAAUAUUGCGCAAUGGGCGAAAGCCUGAGAGAGCCAUGCCGCGUGAGUGAUGAAGGUCUUCGGAUUGUAAAACUCUGUUAUUAGGGAAGCGGUACCUGCUCAGAAAGCACCGGCUAACUACGUGCCAGCAGCCGCGGUAAUUC